rnacentral:rRNA from 1 species
GAUGAACGCUGGCGGCGUGCCUAAUACAUGCAAGUCGAGCGAACAGACGAGGAGCUUGCUCCCCUGACGUUAGCGGCGGACGGGUGAGUAACACGUGGAUAACCUACCUAUAAGACUGGGAUAACUUCGGGAAACCGGAGCUAAUACCGGAUAAUAUAUUGAACCGCAUGGUUCAAUAGUGAAAGACGGUUUUGCUGUCACUUAUAGAUGGAUCCGCGCCGCAUUAGCUAGUUGGUAAGGUAACGGCUUACCAAGGCAACGAUGCGUAGCCGACCUGAGAGGGUGAUCGGCCACACUGGAACUGAGUCACGGUCCAGACUCCUACGGGAGGCAGCAGUAGGGAAUCUUCCGCAAAGGGCGAAAGCCUGACGGAGCAACGCCGCGUGAGUGAUGAAGGUCUUCGGAUCGUAAAACUCUGUUAUUAGGGAAGAACAAAUGUGUAAGUAACUAUGCACGUCUUGACGGUACCUAAUCAGAAAGCCACGGCUAACUACGUG